AUCAGAGACAUUAAAAUGAGGCGCACAAAAGUGUGCCCUAAUUGACAACUUUGCCCUAAAUCUCUUAUUUCAAUACCAUUUAAAGAUGCUUCCCAAUAGCAUUAUAAUUACUUUCCUUUUAUCUGGUUUUGAGUUUUAUGUUUUGCCAUUUAGGGCAAGCAAUCUAACGAAAAUGGUAUACAGAUCUGUAUGAAUUCUUCGUAAGUUUGGGAAUAAAGCAAGUUCGCGUAGAUCUAUGGGUUUGUAAGACCUACGAAGUUGAUGGAUAUGCUCGAUUAUCCUCGAGUUCAAAAGGUGUUUUCUUAGAAGGGGAUAGCUCAUACAAAUCAAGUUAAGAAUGAGCUCGCCUGAAUACAAAAAGCAUUUAGAUAGGAUAUAAAUCAAGUUAGGUAUGGAUUUGUAUGGGUACGGAUCUGUUUAUGGUUCUUUGAAUGGAUCUAGAACAGAGAAAAGCGUAAGGGAUUGAAAAACAAUUUAGCAUACAUUGGUAGGAAACUAAUAAUCUGGUUGAGAAUGUUAUCCUUUUUAGAACUAUGUCAUACUGCCUGAUUUGGAAGAAAUCAUAAGAUACGAUUGACUAAAAAUACUUUAUUAAAGAACACGGCGGACGAAUCUAAUAAAUUGUUUUGAGAAUCUUUUCCAUUGGAAAGUCUGUAGUAUAGCCCGAUUUAGAGGGUAACAUAACAUAACUUAUACUAAAUGUGCAUGCCUAUUGAGUAGAUCUGACAACAUUUGUAAAUUCUAUAUGAAAGUUUGAGGAAAAUCGUUUUUCUAGAAUUUGGAAAUUGGGGAAUCGAAUGUUUUUUGUUUUUUUUCAAUUUUUUAUUAGUGAAUUUACUUGUUGGAUAUCAAUUUUAGUAGUUCGUAUAAAAUUUUGUGAUAUAUAAGCUAAUUUACCUUAAAAAAAUGAUUUGGGCAUGUCGAAGUGUAAUUUAGAAUUUAAUGAAGGGUAAGUUAAGGCGUAGAUUUUUGUUUCUAAAGCCAUGGUUCCAUUGAGUGUGAUACCGAAAUUUGCAGCUGGCACCUGCUGGGAAAAUUUAGGAGCUUUUUACAAUGAGAUUGCCCCAUGGAUUUUAUAGUAGUUAAUUUAAAAAAAAUAGCAUUGUAUUUUUAGGGAGCUGGUGGAAAUUGCAAUACUGCAUCCGAACGUUAUAAAGAUAAAAUGGAAAAAGUUCAAGUGCACUCCAAUAAAUUUUUUCUAAAGUCCAGUGGAUGUGAAAGCUAGGACUUUUUAUUUUCUAGGAUAAGAUUCCAUUUAUACUAUAGCAGUUUUUCCCUCGUAUCAAGGGACCUGCCAAUAUAUAGUCACACAGAUCCUGAAGCCUUCUUGCAUGGGAUUGCUUCCAAAAAAUAUUUAUUUUUCAAAUUUGCCUAUGGUUUAAAUUGGUCUUCAUUAGACUGAUAUGUGAGUGGAGGUGUCUUUCCAUUAUAUUGUUGCAUUGUAUUCCCUUAACUGAUAGUCUCUUUAAGUAAGAAAUUAUUAUACUAUUUUUAGUAGCUAAAAUGAAAUAAAAAUUAUAAGAUGGUUUAUUUCUUGGUAUGCAUUUAGUUUACUAGUUUUUAGAAAGCUGUUGCAACUGAUCUGUAUCUUCAACCCGGACGAUCGCUUCUCUAAUCUUUUGUUUUAAUGGCACUGAAGAAAACUUUUCCAAUUGUUUUAUCUGCAGCCUAGCUGGAACCACUAUAGUUAAGUAGUUCUAAUUUGAAGAAGUUGAGGAUAAACGGUAAAUAAUUGCCUAAUCAUUGACAUUCUGCCAUAAGAGAAUAGAAGAUUGAAUGAAUCAAUCCCAGCUGUCCCAUGGCAAGCUAUCUUUUUCUCUCCUUUUUUAUAUUGCAUAUUGUUUAUAAGUAAUCUUCUCAUAGAAGCAUCAACAUGAGACUAGUACAAGCUCAUGUGAGCACUUCAGGCUAAUACAAGUUCUUUACAAGCAAACAUUCUAGAAAUCAGUUAUGGAAGACCAAGAGUCAACUUGGAAUUCCACAUUAGAUGUCCCAAUGAAGAUUUGAACUUGCUUAAUCCCUUGGACCUAUCUUGCUUACUCAUUAAAACAUAGUAAUGAAGAAUAGUGUUCAAGUAAGAAGUCAUUGGGAAAACUAAAAAAAAAGUGUUCUUGACUUGACAGAGCGAAAUACUGUACAAUAAUUAAUACUAGGUAUGUGAAUUCCUUAGUGCAUAAGUGCCUAUGAAGAUGAUGAUAAAGAUUUGGGUUCUUUCAUUUUUACCUGUUGGCUAAUCGCUAAUGGGGACUGUUGAAAUGGAUGAGGCUUUAAGGCUCUUUGCAAGCAUCAAAAUGGUUUCUGUUACUCCAAAUGUUCAGACUUUACCAUAUGUAGACUGACUCGUUUAGCAAGAUAAGCAAAGUUGACAUUUUACAAAUCAUCCAAAGGAUUCAGUUCAAGGGUGUUUCAGCAUAUUGGAGAAGACAAUGUUUGGAUGAGUACAAGUGCAUACAGAAUUUGGUUAGUUACAUUGCUUCCAUCAGUGAGGGAUGUGUUGAGCAACGUCAACAUUGUUUUCCUUGCAAAAAGUGUCAGUCAGCAAGUACAGGUCAAAAUUUUUGGAGUAAUGCCAACCAUUUAUUGCAUUGAAAAGUUUUGUAAGUAUAAAAUGUCAUCCACUUAAUCAGUCUUGCUAUGGCCAUCAAACUAAUCACCACAGACAAUUGCAUUGGAUACUAACUUACAGCCAAAAUGUAUGGCAUCCCUGGUAGGCUUCAGGCUUGUUAGUUUUCUGGAGGUGUUAAACAGCUGGUAUUAAAAAAUGUGAUGACUUCAUAUGGAUCCCAUAAAUAGCAUGAAGAUUAAUUUAGGUGAACAAGACUCGUUUUAAUGAGUAAGGGGAUUGUAAGCCAAUCUUUCACAUUAACCAUGUUAAUUUUCUUAGUAACAAGAUUAAUUUAGUGUUAAACUAAUGUGAUACCUUAUAAUGUGGAUCCGUAAAUAGCAUAAAUAUUAAUUUGGCUGAACAAUACUCGUUUUAAUUAGUAAGGGCAUUAUAAGCCAUUCUUACAUUUACAAUUAUAAAUCUGUUAGGAACAAUAUACAUAUUGGUGGGGGUUCUAUUGUGGCCCCUGCCCUUGAAUUGUGAGGGUUUGUUCAUGCGACACACAUCCCAUGCAAUUCAUUUGGGACGCUACUGCUUUAAUUAAAGCUCUACCAGUGGAGGGAUACCCCUGCAAUAACAUUUCAAACUUCUGCAUUUUUCCCUGCAGUGCUCAUAUGGCUUGGAUGCCUUGCCUUCAUUUCCCCUGGAGUGCUCAUAUGGGCCCUAAGAUUUAUUUAUAUUCAAUUUUAUUAUAUUUUGUAUAAUAAAAUAAAUUAUUUUCUAUUUUAUUUAUUGAAUUACAUAAUAAAAGAACCUUCAUAUUAAUAAAAAUAACUUAUGAAAUGAUUUUAAAUAAAAAACAUGCAUACUUAUUUAAUAAAAAAAAUAAAAAAAUAGGAACUUGGCAAAUGAUAUCUCUCAGGAUCUUUACAUAGAUUUUUUUUUAACGAUAGGUAUGCUAGUUAAAUAUUAAUAGCAUGUUUAUUAUUAUUAUAUUAAAUAUUGACAUGCAAAUGACUGUCAAAUUUUAAGGUAAAUGUUAAUAUUUUUUUAACAUGCUCAUGCCAUCAACUCCACCCUUUGCUACCACGGUAGAACACCUAAAGAAAACAAAUUUCAGGUUCCCAGAAGUAUAAAGGAAUCUCCACUAGAGAGUCUCUGUCCAAUGUGUUGUGCAAUUUAUAUUAUUGAACAAUUAAUUACUAUUAGGGAAAAUGAUGCACGUGUAUUGAAUUCCAAAUGUUAUCAUACAAGUUGUGAUCUGUGCAAGAUGGGCAAGAGUAGAGGAAUUCCUAAGAUUAGUUGCCAUACUUAGAUAAAUUACACAAUUUCCUAAUAAUACCUAUGCUUAGAGCAGUUUGAUGGAUGGAUUUUGCAAAUUUUCUGUUUGUUGAAUUCUUUGUAGAAUUUUUUCCUUAGUAAAUUAAUGUUUAUUGGUGGCUUGUAGAAAGAAUCAGUGGAUGGAAAUAUUUUCAGGUGGAAAGCCUCAACAGUUAUUCACGGAGAUGCUACGAAAUAUAUCUUUGCAGAUGUUAUUUAUAACUGUUGGCUUCUUUUUGUGUUGGAUUCCAUCUUGUGGUAAGGCUGCAGCACUCUUCCUAAGUAAACACAUGAAACUUUAGUUGAUGUGAAUUGCAGGGGCACGAGUGCUAGAUCUAUGUAAAAUCAAAAACAAAACCUGGAAAACCUGAUGAAGUAUCGUACAACUCAAAUCAUUGGUGGUCAUUUGAAAGUAUGCAAACCUCAAAUACACAUGCAUAUGGAGGGCAUGAUAGAUGAAGGAUUAUCGUUUCCUGUGGUCCAGUUAAUGUCAAGUUGAGAUAUAAUAAUGAAACCUCAAGCAGAAGCAUAGAGGCUUACUUGAAAUUGUCGACAUACAUGUUAUUGCAUUCUAAAGACAUUAAAGGACCAAUAAAACAAUACACAACACACCAACUUUGUUUACUUUGCAAAAAGUCGGGAGUAAAUUGCAAUGCAACAAUUUUGACGCCUCUGUAAAUCAGGGAGAAUAGUUUUAAAAGUCAAUUCCUGAUAGAAUUGUCGAGUCUAACAAAUGAUAAGAAAAUGGUAUAUUAUUGAAUCACCUACAAUUUAUGAUGGAUCCUUUUGUAGUCCAUGAUAUCAGGUGAUCUGUUAUUGGAUAUACGGAUGACUUACAAUAUAUGGGACUGCCAUGUACUCCAUGCUGGAGGAACUUAACUUUGCUACAUAUGAGGGUGUACAUACCUUAACUCUUGCAGUAUUUGAACUUGUACCAUUAGGCCAACUCAGGUGUACCAUCCAAAUAAAGCUGAAUGAAAUGGUUGUUUUCCUUGUGUCUUUACUCAGCACCUUGAUGAGAUGGAUCACAAGGCUGGAAAAAUAAAGGAAGUAUAAUAUCCAUAGAAAGCUUAAAAGUUAUCGGUGGCUUCUAUAAAGAAUGGAACAGCCCUCUUAACCUGUAAGAGCUAGGCUCCACCUCCAUUCCAUUAUAGUAGGGUGAGUGGGGGGGAUGUAGAAGGUAGGUAUGAGUAGGAUUGGUGGGUGCGGGUAGGAUCCCUAUUUACAGGGUUGGACAGGUUAAGUUCAUUUUUUAUAGAUAUUAUUCAUUGAUGAGAAUAUUGGGAUGCUACCCAUUCAGCUACUUCUCUAUUAUUCAUUGAUGAGCAUAUUGGGAUGCUAGGAUCCCUAUUUACAGGGUUGGGCAGGUUAAGUUCAAAUUUUAUAGAUGAGCAUAUUGGGAUGCUACCCAUUCAGCUACAUCUCUAUCAUCUUCAAGUUGCCCAAUCUGCUGCGUUUUCUAAAAAAUUGUUAGACUUAAUCAAUUCUAUAAGAAAAUGAUAGUUAAAGAGUAGUUCACAAAUGUAACUUUUGGAUUUCCAGAAGCAUUAAAAUUGUUGCAUUAUUCCAGAUGUUUCAAACAUUGUUUGCUGAUUGACUCUUUUGCAAGGUAAACAAAGUUGGCAUGUUGUGUAUUGUCUUCUUGAUCCUGAUCACAGGUUAAAGACAGAUUGAUUGAAGAAUCCACCAUGGGGUCAGUCAGGUUAAGUCCAACUCUUAUAGGCGUUAUUCAUUGAUGAGCAUAUUUGGGAUGCUACCUCAUCGAGCUACAUCUCUAUCAUCUUCAAGUUGCCCAAUCUGCUCCGUUUUCAAAAACAAUGUUAAAUAAUUCUGCAAGGAAAUGACAGAUAGAGAGUGGCCAAAGAAUAUAACUUUCGAACUUCCAGAAGCAUCAAAAUUGUGGCAUUAUUCCAGAUGUUUGACAUAUAUUUUGUUGAUUUACUCUUUUUGCAAGGUAAACAAAGUUGGCAUGUUGUGUAUUGUUUUCUUGAUCUUGAUUACAGGUUAAAGACAGGUAUUUAUUGAAGAAUCCACCUCAUCCAAAUCCUCCUCAUCCAAUGAGGUGUAAGGUGUACGACUUCUGAACCAUGCCUUCAAUUCAAGUUUAUGAAGUUUUAAUGCUUGGGCAAAAUUUAAAUAUCUUGUCACAAUAAUAAUGGAUGAUCAAAUCAGAACCUUUGUUACAGCACAGAUGCACAGGUAAGAGUGAUUCAGAAGAUUGGAGAAGACACUAUUUGAGAUCACUGUAGCUGUACUACAGAGUUUGGCCACCAAUUGCACCCUCUUCAUUAAUGAGGGAUCAGAAAUGCCAAUAUUUUUUCCUUGUAAAAUGUCACAAUUAGUACAUGAUGUAUGAAAAACCUUUGGAGCUUUCAAAAAGAAUUAAAGCCCUCGUCCAUUUACUGAGCAUUUUUUAUAUUUUGUUUAAUCAAACCACCAAAUGUGACACACCAUGAGAUUCCAAAUAAAAUAAAUGACGCAUGGUUAUUGUCUGCUAAA